AUCUAUUUUCUAUUUCUAUUUAUCUAUCUAUCUAUCUAUUCUAUCUUUCUAUCUAUCUUCUUCUAUUACAUUAAAGGAGGGUUGGAGGAAUCUUACGUUGACACCUGUCCCCCAACCCUCCACUUCAUUCUCUCUCUCUCUCUCUCUCUCUCUCUCUAUAUAUAUAUAUAUAUAUAUAUAUAACUAGUCUAUCUAUCUAUUACAUUAAAGGAGAUUUGGAGGAAUCUUACGUUGACACCAGGCUAAUAUACUAUUAAUAUACUAUUAAUAUAUAUAUAUAUAUAUAUAUAUAUAUAUAUAUAUAAAAUUAAUUUUAUUAAUAAAUUGUAUAACAGCUUAUUAGUAAUUAAAUUUUGAUAUAAAAAUUUAAAGUUUUGAUACUUUCAAAUUUUAAAAAUUUUAAAUUUUAAAUUCUAAAUUUUAAUUUUAACUUAUAAUAUUCAUAAUUUUAAUUUUAAAUUCUAAAUUAUAAUAAUUAAUUAAAUUAUAAUAUAAUUAAUUAAUUUUAUUAAUAAUACGCAUAAUAAAUCACGUAAUAAAAUCUAACCUGAUAGAUACAAUUUAAAUCACGUAAAAUAUCGUUGUAUAAAAAAAAUAUAGUAUUUAAAUUUUAGGAGUAAAAUUUUAGAAAUAUAGUGUAUUUCUGUGUAUAUAUAAUUAAUUUUAUUAAACAAUUUCAUUUACAAUUUUAUUUUCCUUCUAUUUAUUGAUUUUUUUAAAUUAUUUUGAUAGAUUUAUCUCAAAUCCUUUUCAUAUGUAUCUUUAUAAAAUAAAUUAUUAUAUAAAUUUACUUUGCGCAUAUAUCAAUUUUAAUGACUUUUAUUUAAAUAGAUUUAACUAUUAAAUUAUUUUUAUAUAACUUUUAUUUAAUUAAUAAUUAGAUUUAUAAAACUAUAUAAAAAUAUUAAAAAAAUAAAAUUUAUUAUAAAAAUAAUUUUAUAUCCACAGCAUCGCGUGGGUAAUUAACUAGUUUUAAAAAAUAUGUGGAUCUGAAUUAAUGCGAAACUCUCAAAAUGGUGUGGUGCGAUCGAGUUAAUGAUUUCUUAUAUUUUUACUCCCUAUAGGUGUUAGAUACUUAUUAAAAAUUAUUACUAUCAAUAUUACUUCUCACUACAACAAAAACAGUUUAUAGCGACACUUUUAAACGUUGGUAUAGGUCAAAAGAAGUGCUGCUGGCUAAAUUACCGAUACUUUUAAAAAGUUUUGCUAUAUGUGGGGUCACUGGAUAUAUAGUGACAGUUAAAGAGUAUCGAUAUAACCUAAAAAAGAAUGCUUUUAAUUUACCAACACUUAUUUAAGCAUUUAGCAACCGCCGAAAUUCUACCUCGUUGGCUGCGGUGGCGGAGGAGGAGGAGAGGGAAGGGCUCUUCGUCUAGGAUUUCAGUAGAUUGAGUGAGGGGAGAAAGGGAGAUGAUAAUCGAAUUUUCUUUUUUUUUUCUUUUAUGUUUGUAAUCGGGCCGAAUAGGCUGGGUAGGGUGAAUUGAGUAGAGUAACUUUUUAUUUUUUGUUGGAUUAGGCUUUAUAUUUAGGCAUUAGUAGAUUUUUUUUUUUAAGUUUUGGUAUAAAUGAGACACUUACACAAAAGUGUUACAAACAUGUGUCUCUAUAAUCUAAUUCUGUUGUAGUGUCUGUAUAAGUCCAUAAAUUGUAUCAUUAAUACA
rnacentral:lncRNA from 1 species